rnacentral:tRNA from 1 species
GCCGAAGUGGUGGAACUGGUAGACACGCUAUCUUGAGGGGGUAGUCUCCUAUGGAGGUGCGGGUUCGAGUCCCGCCUUCGGCA